rnacentral:rRNA from 1 species
AAGGAUCAAAGUCCUACCUUAAGUUUUUUUAAUCAUUAAAAUAACUCUUAAACUUAAGAGCUAUUCAAAUAAGGUACAGCCUAUUUGAAACAGGAAACAACCUAAAGAACAGGGUAAUAUUCUACGGCACGUGUCCAAGUGGGCCUAAAAGCAGCCAACUUUCAAAAAGCGUUAAAGCUUAUACUCGUGCCCCCCCCCCAAUCCCAAAACUAACAGACAACCCUUAUAAAGUACUAAAUAAUUCUAUAAAUUUAUAGAAGUUAUAAUGCUAAAACUAGUAACAUGAAGAAGUCCUUCUCCUAAGUGCACACGUAAGCCAAAAAGAACAACUCAUUGGCAUCUAACGCUAUUGAAUACAAAGCAACAACUCUUCAAGAAAACCUUGCUGGCACCAACGUUAACCUUACACAAGCGCACUCCAGGAAAGAUUAAAAGAGGUAGAAGGAACUCGGCAAACUUUAACCCCGCCUGUUUACCAAAAACAUCGCCUCCUGAAAACAAUAGGAGGUCCAGCCUGCCCAGUGACCAAGUUAAACGGCCGCGGUACCCUAACCGUGCAAGCGG